ensembl:lncRNA
GCCUGGAUCCGGGGGAACUGGAGACGUGUGGGCUUUUCCAUGAGGAAGAAGAAACAGAAGGGACACAAGGCCAUUCUCAGGUGAAAGAGACACAGAGGUCGUCCACUUUGGAGGACAUGGCACACGAUGCGCAGACAGACAGCAAAUUACAGUCCACAGGUUCUGUUUGUGACGUCUCUAAGGUGAGGAGGUGUUCAUGUCCGUCAUUUAAAGUUCAAGUAUAUGGUAUAAUAUAUAUAUAUAUAUAUAAUAUACCAUAAUGGUAAUUGAGUCUGAUGUUGCUUUAUUAUAGCCCUGGAGCUUCCAGCCAUGCUAUCUAAUUCAUAUUUUUUAGCUGAAGUUUCACCAUAGUAUGAUUCGUAGUCAUUAAUUUGGACAUACUGAUUUAAAUCUUACUAUGGUACAUUUUUGACUCUUAAAUAUUAAUUAAGUGUUAUGUUGUACUGUGACCACCCUAGAGCAUCCAUCGUUACCAUAAUACGAUUAGUACAUAUUAAUUUAAUCAUACUGACGUUGGCACUCAGUUAGAAAAUGUAAGAUUCCAACUAUGUUUUAGGUCAUAAAUAUUAAUUACUUUAUUCCUAGGGUUGCUUUGUAGCUUUUCUGAAGUGUUUGAUUAUGUUAACUAAUUAAUAUUAAAGAACUGGACCUUUGCCAGUUUUGGACAGGGUGUUGUCUCACUCAACUAGGGUUAUCUGUAACCUCUUUGUUCUUGUCCCUUCUGACUUCAGAUCGCAGCAAGCAAAAAACAAAAAUAGAACUGUGUUGAAUAAAAAAUCUGUUUCCAAACCUUCCAAUCAUGAACCCAGCCUCCGCUCAGGCCGCUCUCUUCAGGAAGCUCCAGCUAGACAUAUGAGGGCCUCUGGAGAAAGAGCUGCCAUCUCUGUGCCUGUUAGAAAAGACCUGCUGACUUCACCUCCAGAGGCCAAGAGCAAAGACCCUUUUGGGUCUUUUUACAACAACAGGUUGAGGAGGAUGCCCCAGGUUUUCUGUAAGACUUACAAGAAAUCCAAGCCCAGCUCCACAGAAGCGAUCGUGCUGUCCAGCGAUGAUGAAGGAGCUGAAGAGAUGAAUGACGUGUCUGGAAGUUUGCAAGGGCAGCGGAACUCAGGGACGCUCAGGUAACGGAUAAAGAAUGGGUGUAGAUUUCAAAAAUAUGCCCCUAUUGACUACAUGUCAUAAACAUAUACAUUUAUCUAUUGAGCGCAUGCUUUCAUCCAAGUCAAAUUACAAAUGAUAAAUGUUUAAUGCUGUUUGUGGUUAUCCACUCACUCACCUUAUUAACAUUGAGAAUGUAAAUAUUAUAAGAUAAACCAUGAUUAUUAAAAUAUUGUAAGAAUUUUGCAGCUGUAGAUAUGAUAAAAUAAGUAUUGUGUGGUUUUUGGCUUUUUUUUAAACUUUUUUUAUAAAAGCAUGGCUCUAACAAAUGCAGAUGAGUUUUAAACACAUUUAAACACAUUAAAAAUGCAUAGUAAUAUAUAUAUCUAUCUAUCUAUACAUAUAUAUACACAGCGUAUUAAGUUAAUGUAUCCUUGCUGAAUAAAAUAAUUAAAAUCUUAUUGAAUGGUAGUGUA